CUGCUGCCUCCCGUAGGAGUCUGGUCCGUGUCUCAGUACCAGUGUGGGGGACCUUCCUCUCAGAACCCCUACGCAUCGUCGGUUAGGUGGGCCGUUACCCCGCCUACUGCCUAAUGCGCCGCAUGCCCAUCCCUGUCCGGCCGAAGCCUUUCCUGCCUCCGGGAUGCCCCGGUGGCAUGUACGCGGGUUUAGCCCGCCUUUCGGCGGGUUGUCCCCCUGACAGGGGCAGGUUGCAUACGUGUUACUCACCCCGUGCGCCGGUCGCCGGCGGAGAAAG
rnacentral:rRNA from 1 species